UUCAACGUCCUCUUUCGCCUUGGAUCGUCAGCGUGAUGUGGCCGUCGACGGAAGAGGACUCCACCGUCUCAUUGCUUCUGACCGGCAGUUGAUCCUGAAAUGUGAGCUGCUUCUGAUGUAGCAGGUACACAGGGAAGACCCUCAUUCAGCUGGGUUGCCUUGCCGACAGCCACCUCUAAUGAAAAGCACAGUGUAAUGUGGCAGUGAAAUUGCUUUGAGCCCUAAGCAUGGACAUUCCUAACCAAGGGUUACACUGAUGGCAGAUGCACCCAGCUAGAGCUUGCCGCAAGGAUUUUGUUACACUGAUGGCAGAUGCACCCACCGAGAGCUUGCCGCAAGGUUUUUAAGUGUGCUGGUGACUAAAUGGAGCAGCCGCUGUGUGACAAGAUGAGAGUUCUGUGAGAGAAUUCCGUGUCACAAUAGUUGACCAGCAUUAUAUUUAAGUCAUUAAAUCAACAAAACUA